GUACGGGGCCAGCGUUGCUCGGAAUUACUGGGCGUAAAGGGUUCGUAGGCGGUGCGGCAAGUUGGGAGUGAAAUCUCUGGGCUUAACCCAGAGGCUGCUUUCAAAACUGCCGCGCUCGAGUGCGAGAGAGGUCAGUGGAAUUGCAGGUGUAGCGGUGAAAUGCGUAGAUAUCUGCAGGAACACCCGUGGCGAAGGCGGCUGACUGGAUCGCAACUGACGCUGAGGAACGAAAGCUAGGGGAGCAAACAGGAUUAGAUACCCUGGUAGUCCUAGCCCUAAACCAUCAGGACUUGGGGUGGCCCGCGUAGGCGGGUCGUCCCGUAGCUAACGCGUUAAGUCCUGCGCCUGGGGAGUACGGUCGCAAGACUG
rnacentral:rRNA from 1 species